rnacentral:tRNA from 1 species
GCGGGGGUUGCCGAGUGGCCAAAGGCGUGAGACUCAAGAUCUCAUCCCGAAGGGGUUCGAGGGUUCGAAUCCCUCCCCCCGCA